AGAAACUUAAAGUUGUUGGUGCUAGCACCAAUCAAGUGUCCUUUCCGCGUUCUCGAAAACUUUCAUCUUCAACUUGCUCAACGGUACACUCAAGUAUAAUCAUAUCGUUGAGCAAGUUGAAGAUGAAUGUUGUCGGGAACCGAAUGUCCAU
rnacentral:pre_miRNA from 1 species